UGGAAAUCCCCACUCCCAUCCUGACCACACCUGACCCUCCCCACUCCCAUCCUGACCACACCUGACCCUCCCCACUCCCAUCCUGACCACACCUGACCCUCCCCACUCCCAUCCUGACCACACCUGACCCUCCCCACUUCCAUCCUGUCUACACCUGACCCUCCCCACUCCCAUCCUGACCACACCUGACCCUCCCACUCCCAUCCUGACCACACCUGACCCUCCCCACUCCCAUCCUGUCUACACCUGACCCUCCCCACUCCCAUCCUGUCUACACCUGACCCUCCCCACUCCCAUCCUGACCACACCUGACACUCCCCACUCCCAUCCUGACCACACCUGCCCCUCCCCACUCCCAUCCCGACCACGCCUGACCUUCUCGCCCUCCCUCCAUAAACCUGCCCCUCCCCACUCCCAUCCUGACCACACCUGCCCCUCCCCACUCCCAUCCUGACCACACCUGGCCCUCCCCACUCCCAUCCCGACCACGCCUGACCUUCUCACCCUCCCUCCAUAAAGCUGCCCUUCCCCACUCCCAUCCUGUCUACACCUGACCCUCCCCACUCCCAUCCUGUCUACACCUGACCCUCCCCACUCCCAUCCUGACCACACUUGACCCUCCCCACUCCCAUCCUGUCUAUACCUGCCCCUCCCCACUCCCAUCCUGACCACACCUGACCCUCCCCACUCCCAUUGCCGACCACACCUGGCCCUCCCCACUCCCAUUGCUG
rnacentral:lncRNA from 10 species